UUGGAAAAAACGGAAGAAGAAGAAGAAGACGAGGAGGAGGAAGAGGAAGUUCUUCAAAAAUUUCUCUGUCAGUUUAUCUUCCUCAGCUGAAGGAGUUAAGUUAGAAAACUGAAUUAAAGUCUUGUGGUCUUUAAUCCUAAAAUCUGCUCGAUGGGACCCGAAGAGAGGGAUUGGCUGGACAUGGCAAACAAUGUUUUGUUGAAAUGUCACAUUAACCUGAGGCUGGAAAGGAUCUCGGAGUGUGAUGCAAAUGUGUUUGUGGCUUUGUAUGAGGCAAUCAUAGGAGAGAAAGUACCAGAUUAUGUAGCUGCAGAGCGCCAGGAAGAUGACAUCCACAAUAUGCAAUCUGUAAUUGACUCGUUGGCCUUAGACUACCUUCAGAUUAGUUUAUCUCACAUCACAGGUGAGAAUAUAGUUAGAGGAGAAAAAGAAUCUGUCAGAAACUUGUUGGAGAUUUUUGAUGGUCUGCUGGACUACCUCAUAGAUCAGCAGAGUGACGAGGAGCCUCAACUUAAAGGGUUCAAUGGAAAGACCAAUGCAGCUUAUCAGUCUCAAAAUCAGGACACGGGCAAGAUGCAGUGUCAGCCCUUAACCAUUCAGCUCAGAGAUAGAGAUGGUUCUUUGUAUUUGGGUACCCAGAGAAAUAAGGAGGCAGAGCAAGAACUGCAUGAUAUGUCAGAGAAGCUAUCUCGCCGUUUGGAGGAACUUGAUCUGAUGUUGCAGCGUGCUCUGAGUGAAAUUGGGGAGAUGUGUGAGCCAGGAGAGGAAGAUAAACAGUCUCAUCAUAGCGACAGCAUCAUGGAGUGUUUCAAAGUUAUGUCAAGUUCACGCCAUUCCAGAGCUCAUGCACACUCGUUGCCCCCCUUUCCUUCACAUGUACAGCACACUAUACAGCAAGAUGCUCUGACCAGAGACUCAUACAAUGCCAGUCAUAACCAGCAGCACCAUAGAAACACACAGUUCAUGGAAUCAAUCCGUAAAGAUGAAUUGAAGCAAUUAGUGCAGCAGGAGCAAACAGAUAUCACCACUGAGAGACUCAAUGUUCAGAAAACGGAGCUUGAAUACCACCAGGAAGUGUGUCGAAAUGCUCCUUCUGUUCACAGUUCCUGCACCAAGUCACCUUGCUCUCGAUCCUCCGGAGCUAAGCUCCAACACACAGCCAGAAAAGAGAGACAUUCUGUGAAAUUGAAGGACAACAAUCUUCUUCCCAUUCUGCUGGAGGAGUUUCAACGGGUGCAGCUCUCUCCUCAUACUUUGUCCUGUAUGUGGAAACAGCAGCUCCAACAGAUUGACCAACUCAGCUCCUCCCAAAACCAGAACAGACAGAAAGAAUCCAAACUUUUAAAACAACUAGAAGAAGCUCAGAAAAGACAUGGCAUGCUGGUGCAGAUAAUCCACAAAGAAAAAGAACACAACCGUCGCCUGAGAGAGUUCAAGGAGAGGAUCCAACAGCAGAAGUCAGCUCAGAAUAAGCUUAGAGAACAGAGGCAACAGGUUGCUCGUGCUAAAAAAUAUUACAGCGUCUAUCAUGUUCAGCUGCGUGCCAGACUGAUGCAAGCAAAAACACAAGAAGAGCGAAAGCUCAAGCAGAUCUUUGAAGAAGGAUUGGAAUUACAGAAAGCUCGUCUGAGAGAGCAGCGGGCAUAUUCUAAAGAACUGCGUCAGGAGAAUUACCACAAAUUCAAAGAUGAGAUUGAGGCCAUGGAGAACUACUACAGAGACCAGGUCACAGGUUUCCAAUCACAGGUCUGGAUGUCUGUCGUGCUUCUGAACUUGUCUGGGACCCGAUGGCAGAAUGGACUACUGGGGGGUCCAGCUCAGCAGUCCCCUCCCGUUUCCCGAUGCGGGCCUCCUUGUCGACAGCCCCGUGACAAAUCUUCAUCUUGUCCACAGCGAUAACAGUGCCUGCACUCUUCACCUCUUUGGGCCUCCUGGCAUGAAUGGCAGCCUUUGGGUCUCCUCUCAGUUCGAAGUGGAGUCAUGGGUGGGUGAAACUGUGAUCUGGUCACUUCCAUUGUCUCUCUGAACAUAUUGGUCAUUUCCAUGACGUUUGCUCUGAGGUCUUCAAUUGCUUUAGCAGUGUCAUUGUCAGUAUCUUUGCUUUGUAUGUGCUUUGUGCUGUUUUUAUGCUCAUCUCAAUAUACAGGUGUAACACAAUGGAGAACAAGUCUGAGCCUUGCCAGGAAUUUUUCUAAAUGUACACACUGCAGCCCUGCUGACAAUGCCAUGAGGUUUACAAGAACUGCUUACCAGGUCACUGCAGUCACCCAGAUCCAGUACGUAUCCAGACCAGAUGGUGGAUCAGCACCUAGAAAGGACCUCUACAUCCAUGAAAGACAGCGGAGACCAGGACAACUAGAACCCCAGAUACAGAUCCCCUGUAAAGACCUUGUCUCAGAGGACCACCAGGACAAGACCACAGGAAACAGAUGAUUCUUCUGCACAAUCUGACUUUGCUGCAGCCUGGAAUUAAACUACUUUUCAUCUGGUCAGAGGAGAACUGGCCCACCAACUGAGCCUGGUUUCUCCCAAGGUUUUUUCUCCAUUCUGUCACCAAUGUAGUUUCGGUUUCUUGCUGCUGUCACCUCUGGCUUGCUUAGUUGGGGUCACUUCAUCUACAGCGAUAUCGUUGACUUGAUUGCACAGAUACUAUUUAAACUGAACUGAGCUGAUUUAUGACAUCACUGAAUUCAAUGAUAAACUGCCUUUAACUAAAAACUGAGUUUUUACUAAUGUCCUUCUGAAUUAUUGACACACUAUUUUCCUAUUUAAUACCAUAAAGUUGCUUUGACCCAAUCCGUAUUAUUAAAAGCACUAUAUAAAUAAAGGAGGCUUGACUUGACUAUGUUGGAAAAGGAAAAAGAGGAGAGAUGCACACCCAUCCUGGGUUUUGCAGUAAUUGGUGCAGAUGCUGGAGGAGAAACUGUGUAUAACUCCUCAGUUCCAUUCGGAGAGUCUUGGAAAUACCUCCGGAUUGUUGUUAGUGAUUCUGCUUGAUAUUUUUGUCUGCUUGCAUACUGGAUAUAUUUUAUACUGUUUACAUUGUAAAACACUGACUUUGACAACAUACCAAUUACAAAUUUAACAGCUACUUUAUGCUAUAUGUAUAUAUAUAUAUAUAUAUAUAUAUAUAUAUAUAUAUAUAUAUAUAUAUAUAUAUAUAUAUGUGUGUGUGUGUGUGUGUGUGUGUGUGUGUGUGUAUAUGUGUUGUUUCCUGAAAUACUACAAAUAUAACAGCAAAAUAUGACUUUAAAUAAAGGUCACUGAUGAGACUUCUCUGUUCGGUUAUUUGUGUAUAUAGUCUAUGAAAUAAAUAUACGACAUACAUCUAGUAAAUGCCUCAUAAAUAUAUAUAAAUGCGUUUGUGCAUAUCUUUCAUUAUUUCACACCAACAAUAAUACAUGCAAGCAUUCAUGGAUAAACAUUCAGCUGGAAAUUAAUGUUUAGCAAAAUUAUCUUUUUUUUUUUGUUUGUUUGUUUAUAUUUGAUCAAACUUUUCAAUCAAAUAACAUACAAUGCAGACCUUUAUACUUAUUUAAAUAAGCAUUAAAAAUAAAUAUACAUUUAUAUAUUUAUUUGUCUUACUACUGCCGGCAGCCUCCUCCAAUUUCCGUUUUUUAGCGACAGCUGCCGUCAUGUUUUAUUGGCAGCCACUUCCUGCUGCCAGUGACAGCCACUUCCUGCUGACAGCUGCCGAUUUUUCGCCGAACCCCCUCUCAGUCUUUAUUUGUUUUAUUUUGUUCUAUUUAUUGAUUACUUUUUGUUUAAAUCUUUCAACAUUUUACAACAGUAGCCAGGUGGUGAAGACAAGAAAAAAGAAACUAAAUUACAAUGUCACUUGCAAUCACUACUUGCAUUAUCAGACUUACACUCUCAGAUACUUGUGCUUCCGCUAGCAAUGUCACUUGCAGUCUUUAUUUUUUUUUAUUUGUUCUAUUUAUUUAUAACUUUUUGUUUGAAUCUAUCAACACUUUACAACAGGAGCCAGGUGGUGAAGACAAGAAAAAAGAAACUAAAUUACAAUGUCACUUAUGGUAAGACUGUCACUCAAGGCUGACUGACAGUCAUGCAUAUGCUAUGAAACAGAUUUAUCGCGUCCACAUCUCAGGCUUUUGGGAUUAGCAAAUUGGAACGUCUCAAAAUGCGAUUUCAAUUCGAUUUCGAUUAAUCGCACAGCCCUAUCUCAAACUCACUCUCAAUACCUCCAAAACAACAAUAAUGUGGUUUUACCAUAAGGGCAUCCUCCUGCCCUUAACAUCACUACAUGCAAGGGGGCUAUUCUAGAACAAGUCACUGCAUAUAACUACUUGGGCAUCUGGUUGGAAACUUCACUUUCUUUCACCAUUCACAUACUGUAUCAAAGCUGCAAUCAAAGGUUAAAGCCAAGCUAGGUUUCCUUUACAGAAACCGCUCUUCAUUCACCACCUCUGCCAGACUCUGCCACUCACCUCCCUUACUUGGGUCACCUGCUGCAGCCAAAGCCCGUCACAUAUAACACUCGGUCCUCACUUCAUCUUAAACUAAGCAUUCCCAAAACUGAAUCUGCGUAUGGUCUUACAUCUUUUCAAUCUGCUGGCGCUCGGGAUUGGAAUGCUCUGCAAAACAUUCUCAAACUAAAUAAACUUAUUCCAAUUUCAUCCUUCAAAACUAGUAUAUGAUACUUGUUCACGGACAAAUGCCGUUGCUUCACUGCAUAAUUAUUUAAGUUUUUUUAUAUUAUUAUUAUUAUUUAUUUAAUUUUUUACAGUAAAUCGAUUGAUGAUGUUUGAUGUUUUAAAAUGUAUUUAUGUAAAUGUUAACCUUUAUUUCUAAUGUUCUGUAUUUAUUUUAUCCCUACUUCCCUUUCCCUAAAUGGUCAUUCCACUUGUCAGGCCGCCAUUGUAAAUAAGAACCUGUUCUUAAUGACCUGCCUGUAAAAAUAAAGGUUGAAAAAUCGGUCAACCGGUUGGACCGAUAUGCAAACUGGAAGGGGUCCAGGGAGGGGGUGAGGGCAGACUUGAUGUGGUACAUGACUAGCUGUUCAAAGCACUUCACCAAAAUGGGAGUAAGUGCAACAGGACAGUAGUCAUUGAAGUCAAGUCACCUUUAUUUACAUAGCGCUUUAAACAAAUAACAUUGCGUAAAAACAACUGAAAAACAUUCAUUAGGAAAACAGUGUGUCAAUUAUGCAAAAUGAGAGUUAAAGGCAGUUCAUCAUUGAAUUUAGUGAUGUAAUCUCUGUUCAGUUUAAAUAGUGUCUGUGCAUUCAUUUGCAAUCAAGUCAACGAUAACGCUGUAAAUGAAGUGACUCCAACUAAGCAAGCCAGAGGCGACAGCGGCAAGGAACCAAAACUCCAUUGGUGACAGAAUAGAGAAAAAAACCUUGGGAGAAAACAGGCUCAGUUGGGGUGCCAGUUCUCCUCUGACCAAACGAAAACCAGCAGUUCAAUUUCAGGCUGCAGCAAAGUCAGAUUGUGCAGAAGAAUCAUUUGUUUCCUGUGGUCUUGUCCUGGUGAUCAUCUGAGACAAGGUCUUUACAUGGGAUCUGUAUCUGGGACUCUAGUUGUCCUGGACUCCGCUGUCUUUCAGGGCUGUAGAGGUCCUUUCUAGGUGCCGUUCCACCAUCUGGUCUGGAUAUGUACUGCAUCCGGGUCACUGCAGUGACCCUCUGAUCUGGAUAAAGACUGGAUCUGGUGGCUAAAAUGACCUUGGAAUAAGAGAAAAACAGACAAAUAUUAGCAUAGAUGCCAUUCUUCUAAUGAUGUAGCAAGUACAUCAGGUGUUAUGGGAAAUGUUACCGGUUCCGGUUUACCUAAUUAAUGCAGCCUUCAAUGUAUUUGGAUAUUAGAAGCAUAUUAGUGUGUUAUGUGUAAGCCAGGUUAAAGAGAUGGGUCUUUAAUCUAGAUUUAAACUGCAAGAGUAUGUCUGCCUCCCGAACAAUGUUAGGUAGGUUAUUCCAGAGUUUAGGUGCCAAAUAGGAAAAGGAUCUGCCGCCCGCAGUUGAAUUUGAUAUUCUAGGUAUUAUCAAAUUGCCUGAGUUUUGAGAACACAGCGGAUGUGGAGGAUUAUAAUUUAACAAGAGCUCAUUCAAAUACUGAGGUGCUAAACAGGAUGGAGAUGGCUUCUUCGGAACUGGAAUGAUGGUGGUAGUUUUGAAACGUGGGAACAACAGUCUGACUAAGUGAGAUGUUAAAAAUGUCUGUGAAGACAUCAGUGAGUUUUACUGCACAGUCUCUCAGUACACGCCCAGGGAUGAUGGCAGGACCCAGAUCUUUGUGUGCAUUGAUCCUGCUGAAGGAUCUCCUCAUGCUAUCUGGGGUCAGCGUCAACACUCUUCAGUGCAGUGGUGCUGUUAUGUUGUUCAAAGCGAGCGAAGAAGGUGUUCAGCUCAUUUAGCAGAGAUAUGUUGUUAUCACAGGUCCGUGGUGGGGGCUUGUAGUGCGUAAUGGUCUGUAUCCCCUGCCACAGGCUCCUAGUGUCUCUGCUGUCGCUAAAUUGAUGGGCUAUCCUCCUGGAGUGAUGUCUUAUGGCUUUUGUGACAGUUACAUCAUCAAUACACUUGUUGAUGUAGGCAGUGACAGUGUCUGAGUACUCCUGGAGGUCAGUGGAGUUAUUGCAUGUAACAGCCUGCUUAAACAUGUCCCAGUCAGUUGUGUCGAAGCAGUCUUGAAGAACCUCUGAUGAUCCUUCUGGCCACACUUGAAUCUGUUUUUGAACCGGUUUGGCGACUUUAAUGACGGUCUGUAUGCAGGCAUUAGCAUAACAGUGAUGUGGUCUGAGGCUCCGAGAUGGGGUAGGGGGAGGGCUUUGUAAGCUUUUCUCUGCAUGGUAUAAACAAAGUCCAAAAUGUUAUUACCUCAUGUUGGAAAGUUAAUAUGUUGGUGUAUUUUUGGAAACACACUCUUUAAGUCAGCAUGGUUGAAAUCCCCAGCUAUGAUGAGAAAAGCAUCAGGGUGUGCUGUCUGCUGCUCGAUGAUGUGCUGGUAUAGUUCAUUUAGUGCGUCGUUCCUGUUGCUGUUGAUGUUGUUCAGGGGAAUGUAAACCAAAAUGAGCAGUAGGGAUGGGGAUAGAUGGCUUGUGUGGGUUAGCCAUUACUGGAUAUAAGAUGGUUGUAUCUCUAACCAGAGCUGUAGGGGGUUUCUGUAGAGUUCCUUCCUGAGCAGUUACUCACUUCCAGUCAGGAGGUGUUUAGGUUCUUCCUGGAAAAAAAAUGGCUGAGCAAAAGUGAGUGUAUUGACACCUUGACAGGUCAAUGUUUAUUUGAUCUAUAUGGUAUAUGUUGAUACCUAUACACCAACAGUGUCAAGUCAAGUCAAGUCAAGUCACCUUUAUUUAUAUAGCGCUUUAAACAAAAUAAAUUGUGUCAAAGCAACUGAACAACAUUCAUUAGGAAAACAGUGAGUCAAUAAUGCAAAAUGAUAGUUAAGGGUAGUAGAGGUCCUUUCUAGGUGCUGAUCCACCAUCUGGUCUGGAUACGUACUGGAUCCGGGUGACUGCAGUGACCCUCUGAUCUGGAUACAGACUGGAUCUGGUGGCUACGGUGACCUCGGAAUAAGAGAGAAACAGACAAAUAUUAGCUUAGAUGCCAUUCUUCUAAUGAUGUAGCAAGUACAUAGGGUGUUAUGGGAAGUGUUUCCGGUUCCGGUUUACCUAAUUAAUGCAGCCUAAAAAUCCUUUAACGGAUUUGGAUUUUAAAAGCAUAUUAGUAUGUUAUGUGUAAGCCAGGUUAAAGAGAUGGGUCUUUAAUCUAGAUUUAAACUGCAAGUGUGUGUCUGCCUCCCGAACAAUGUUAGGUAGGUUAGUCCAGAUUUUAGGCGCCAAAUAGGAAAAGGAUCUGCCGCCCGCAGUUGAAUUUGAUAUUCUAGGUAUUAUCAAAUUGCCUGAGUUUUGAGAACGAAGCGGACGUAGAGGAUUAUAAUGUAAAAGGAGCUCAUUCAAAUACUGAGGUGCUAAACCAUUCAGGUCUUUAUAAGUAACAAGCGAUAUUUUAAAAUCUAUACAAUGUUUGAUAGGGAGCCAGUGCAGUGUUGACAGGACCGGGCUAAUAUGGUCCUACUUCCUGGUGCUAGUAAGAACUCUUGCUGCUGCAUUUUGGACUAGCUGUAGUUUUUUUACUAAGCCUGCAGAACAACCACCCAAUAAAGCAUUACAAUAAUCUAACCUUGAGGUCAUAAAUGCAUGGAUUAACAUUUCUGCAUUUGACAUUGAGAGCAUAGGCCGUAAUUUAGAUAUAUUUUUGAGAUGGAAAAAUGCAGUUUUACAAAUGCUAGAAACGUGGCUUUCUAAGGAAAGAUUGCGAUCAAAUAGCACACCUAGGUUCCUAACUGGUGACGAAGAAUUGACAGAGUAGCCAUCAAGUCUUAGACAGUGUUCUAGGUUUUUACAUGCAGAGUUUUUUGGUCCUAUAAUUAACUCCUCUGUUUGUUUGUUUUUUAGAAUUUAGCAAUAAGAAAUUACUCGUCAUCCAGUUUUUUAUAUAGACUAUGCAUUCCAUUAGUGUUUCAAAUUUGUGUGUUUCACCGUGUCGUGGAGAAAUAUAGAGCUGAGUAUCAUCAGCAUAACAGUGAAAGCUAACACCAUGUUUCCUGAUGAUAUCUCCCAAGGGUAACAUAUAAAGAGUGAAGAGUAGUGUCCCUAGUACUGAACCUUGGGGUACUCCAUACUGCACUUGCACAUACUGCUCACAAAUUUUAAAAUGAACUAGUUCAGUUCAUAGUUCAAACUGCAGUCUCCCAUUCUCACCGACCUUGUCAUAAACAUCAUAAAAUUAUUUUAAAUAAUCAUACCCCUUCUUGCUACAUGCUGCUGUCGCCCCCAUUGUUUUUUUUUUAUUUUUUUAUGACGCUUCACGCAUGCGGCAGACGGCGGUGCGACACUGGUGGUGUUGCCAGAUUAGCUGAUUUUCCACUACAUAUUAAGACCCGUUUACGGUGUGUUUUAGCCGAGUUUUCGCCUGGAAGGCUUUAUAGAAAUCUGGCACCCUAUUGAACGAAGUUAACCUGAGAGAGCGUUCCGUUCACAGACACCAGAAUGAACGAGUUGACAGUAACGUUCAUCAGGCAGUAAUACAGCACGUUCAGUUCACGUUCGCCCAAAAUAUGACGGAGUUCAUGAACUAUCGUUCAAUGAAUGCAUUCAGGCACAACAUUGGGGCAUUCACCCUCGUUGUCUGAUAUGUUCAGUGAAAUUCUGCAAGAAAGUGCCUCAAAUAAUAAUAAUACGUUGGCUAUUGUUCUAUAUAUAUAAAUAUAUAUAUACACACACACACACACACACACACAUAUAUACAUAUACAUACAUACAUAAGAUUGUAGCCAUAUUUCUGCUAGAUUUUCUGCUAGAUUUCUGCUUUAAUUUGAUAAAAAUGUUUAUUUAUGCCCUGGCCCUAUUUAAAUACACUUUCUCAAAUAUUUCUAAAAUGUCAGGCAGAUGACAAGCUCAACUGCUCAACAGCUAGAUGGUUAUCUGUCUAAAGUCCCCAUCCCCAGAAGUGAUAACCCUCUUGCCUAUACUGGAGAAGUAAUGCACUUUCUAGUCCUACAGAGAAAAAAAAUCAAAUGCACUUCACCUAAAUGCACUUUGUUUUUAUGAGAGAACAGUUCAUUUUAAAACCUUUCUGUAGGCCAGUAGGCCUGAACAUUAUUAUUUAAUAUUCACAUGAGUGGGAUACAUUUUUAGUUUGAAUUUUAUUUUAUACUGUGCAUUGUUGCAAUGUGCUUAAUAAAUAUUUACAUAAUUUGUAAUUAUGUAUUUUUAUGUUUUUUUAUAAUAUUAUAUAUUAUAUCGCGGAUGACUGGUGCGCACAAAAUAAAAAGCAAAACAUAAAAUAAUGUCCAGACCUGGUCCUCUCUCGUCCUUCACUAUAGUGGCUCCAGUUUUAUAUACUUCCAUCUCCUACGUGGGACUCGAUACCGGCGGUGGGGCACAGGUGCAGCUCAUCUCCAAUCACUACACCUGGCCUCACUCCUCGUUCCCACGCCUCUCGGCCCCGCCCCACUUGCCACAAUAUUAUUUACAAAAAGUGUUUUUUUUUUCGUAGAAAGGGAUCUGAUAUUCAAUAAGCCUAGAUUUAUCGUUUGUUUAUCCAUGUUGCAUCAGUUUUUUAUUUGUUGAACCUCAAUUAAAUUGUUAAUCUUAAAUUGGUUUGGAUGUUUUUUGUAUUUUCUAGUUCUGGGAACAGACACAGUCUCUAUAGUGUGAUAUCUAGGUGAAAAAAUCUCUAUGUUCUGAGAAUUAACUGACCUCUGUGACAUGAGGCAUCUUACAGACGGUCGUUUUAGGCAGUCUGUCUGCUUCCUGACCUGGGCCCCAGUUAGUCAAGUAAAAACUCUAAGACUAUUUGCCAUAUUUCUUGACCACCCCAGGAGGAAUGAGGACCAUCUCUUUUCUACAGGUCAGGUCUGCCCCAAAAGCUUGUCCAAUUGUCUAUGAAACUUAUGUUAUUCUGUGGGCACCACUUAGACAUCCAGCCAUUUUUUUUUUGUGAUUUCCAACUGGCAAAAUCAAACAUCAUUAGCGUCUGCAUUUAUCACAACAGUUAGUUUAUGGUGUUAAACAGUGCUGAAAAUGGAUUUCAACGGUUCAUUUUGAAAUGAUUUAUUCUCAGAGAUGUGGAUUUGGAAAGCAAUUGAAUUAACACAUGAGUUUGGGAUUCGGCCAGGGAUUUUCAUGGUGAUGGUGGGAGAAAAAAACAAUGACAUUUUGGAUUCAGAUGGCAAUAAAAUCACAGUCUAACCCCUGUAAAUGUUGAUAAUCACUUACAUCCAAAUGGAACCAAUUACCCUUCGAAUUUGGCUAUUAUGUGCCUUUAUCAGGUAGAACCAAACACACAUCAUUUUUCAUUCCUCUCCAUUUUUGCACCAUUUUGUACUCAGCAGCAUCAGAUGCCUCUUCAGUGUUAGCUCCUUUGAUUUGUCCUGUUUCUGUCAGCCUCACCAGGUAACUGGAAAAUAAAAUAAAAGAUCAUUCAAUAAUGGAAUAACUGUCUAUUGAUUUAAAAGAUUACUUUUAAAAUAUGCAUAAAUUUACUAGCCUAUAACUCAUUAAUAUAAACAGGAAAAACGAUAUCAAUACUAUAUAGAACAAAUAAAAAAAAAUAUCUAUGCAGUAUAUGCUGUAAAUUAGACUACACUGGCACUGACAGCCAUUUUUAAUGAAUGUUGUACAUUAUUUAUAUAGUGUGUUAUUUAAAAGAAUGAACAAUGGUUAGGUAAUAGAUGUAAUGCACAGUAAAAACAGUAAUAUGAAUACCAAGUACUCCUGCCCUGAGAGCAGCUCAUAGUUCAGUAGAAAUAACAGUAAUAUAAAUAUUGAGUACUUCUCCCCCAAGAGCAGCGCAUAAUACACUAAAAGUAACAGUAGUAUGAAUAUAGAGUACUCCUAGCCUGAGAGCAGCUCAUAGAACAGUAAAAAAUAACUGUAAUAUGAAUAUUGAGUAAUACUUCCUUGAGAUCAGCUCAUAGAUAAGUAAACAUAACUGUGAUACGACUAUUGAGUACUCCUGCCCUGAGAGCAGCUCAUAGAUCAGUAAAGAUUAAAGUGAUAUGAAUAUUGAGUACUCCUGUCCUGAUAGCAACACAUAGUACACUUACAAUAACAGUGAUUUGAAUAUUGAGUACUCCUGCCCUGGGAGCAGCUCAUUGUACAGUAAAAAUAAUAGUAAUAUGAAUAUUGAGUACUCCUGCCCUGAGAGCAGAGCAUAGUUUAUUGAAAUAACAGUAGUAUGAAUAUUGAGAACUCCUGCCCUGAGAGCAGCUCAUAGUUUAGUAAAGUAAUAGUAAUAUGAAUAUUGAGAACUCCUGCCUUGACAGCAGCUCAUAGAUAAGUAAACAUAACUGUGAUAUGAAUAUUGAGUACUCCUGCUCUGAUAGCAGCUCGUAGAUCAGUAAAGAUAAAAGUGUUAUGAAUAUUGAGUACUCCUGCCCUAAGAGCAACACAUAAUACACUAACAAUAACAGUGAUUUGAAUAUUGAGUUCUACAGCACUGAGAGCAGCUCAUAGAACAGUACAAAUAACAGUGAUAUAAAUAUUGAGUAAUCCUGCCCUGAGAGCAGCUCAUAGAACAGUACAAAUAACUUUAAUAUGAAUAUUGAAUCACACUUUAUUUUAGGUUCCAAUUCACACUAUUAACUAACCAUUAACUAUAACUUUUGCCUCAAUUAACUCCUUAUUUUAUGCUUAUAUAGUUUAUAAGGUAGUUUUAAGUUUAGGGAAUUGGGUAGGAUUAUGGAUGUCAUGCAUUAUAUGUACUUUAUAAGCACUAAUAAACAGCUAAUAUGUUAAUAAUAGACAUGCUAAUAAGCAGCUAGUUAUCAGUGUGAAUUGGACCCUAUACUAAAGUGUUACCGAAUAUUGAGUACUCCUGCCCUGAGAGCAGCGCAUAGUUUAUUAAAAUAACAGUAAUAUGAAUAUUGAGAACUCCUGCCCUGAGAGCAGCACAUAGUUUAGUAAAAUAAUAGUAAUAAGAAUAUUGAGUACUUCUGCCCUGAGAGCAGCACAUAGUUUAGUAAAGUAAUAGUAAUAUGAAUAUUGAGAACUCCUGCCUUGAGAGCAGCACAUAGUUUAUUAAAACAAUAGUAAUAUGAAUAUUGAGUACUCCUGCCCUGAGAGCAGCACAUAGUGCACUAAAAAUAACAGUAAUAUGAAUAUUGAGUACUUCUGCCCUGAGAGCAGUACAUAAUACACUAAAAAUAACAGUAAUAUGAAUCUUGAUUACUCCUGCCCUGAGAGCAGCUCACAGUUUAGUAAAAUAAUACUAAUAUGAAUAUUGAGUACUUCUGCCCUGACAGCAGCACAUAAUUUAUCAAAAUAACAGUAAUAUGAAUAUGGAGUACUCCUGCCCUGAGAGCAGCUCAUAGUUUAGUAAAAUAACAGUUAUAUGAAUAUGGAGUACUCCAGCCCUGAAAGCAGUGAUAAUGCUAAUGCUAACUGACUGAUGUAAUGUCAAGGAGAUAUGAACGAGUUCUUUUUUCGGUCAUAUCAGUUUCACUGCAUUGGAAAAACAUGUUUUGCUCCAUUUACCUCAUAACUGGCUUAUGUGCAAUCAACUGACGAAGCACUCAAAUGAAAAUGCAUGCUAUAAGAUAUUUAGUCCAUGAUUAUUUGUUCUGUGUAUCUUUGUUCGCUAAUUAUCUUUUAAAAUGUUAGAGAUGUUAUUUUUUUCAUGAGAAUACACUGUAAAUUAACUUACUUUGCAAUAAAUGCCUCCCAUGAAAUGUCA